rnacentral:rRNA from 1 species
AUUGAACGCUAGCGGCACGCUUUACACAUGCAAGUCGAACGGCAGCACGGACUUCGGUCUGGUGGCGAGUGGCGAACGGGUGAGUAAUAUAUCGGAACGUGCCCAGUCGUGGGGGAUAACGCAGCGAAAGCUGUGCUAAUACCGCAUACGAUCUAAGGAUGAAAGCGGGGGAUCGCAAGACCUCGCGCGAUUGGAGCGGCCGAUAUCAGAUUAGCUAGUUGGUGGGGUAAAAGCCCACCAAGGCGACGAUCUGUAGCUGGUCUGAGAGGACGACCAGGCACACUGGAACUGAGACACGGUCCAGACUCCUACGGGAGGCAGCAGUGGGGAAUUUUGGACAAUGGGCGCAAGCCUGAUCCAGCAAUGCCGCGUGCAGGAUGAAGGCCUUCGGGUUGUAACUGCUUUUGUACGGAACGAAACGGCCCUUUCUAAUACAGGGGGCUAAUGACGGUACCGUAAGAAUAAGCACCGGCUAACUACGUGCCAGCAGCCGCAGUAACAC